GUGAUGAGCGGCGGGGGGUGGCACAGGCCAGGGGGUAGCGACUGUUUACCAAAAACACAGGAGCGUGCGAAGGCGCAAGCCGCUGUAUACGCUCUGACGCCUGCCCGGUGCCGGAAGGUUAAGAGGAUCCGUCAGCUUCUGCGAAGCGGUGAAUUCAAGCCCCGGUAAACGGCGGUGGUAACUAUAACCAUCCUAAGGUAGCGAAAUUCCUUGUCGGGUAAGUUCCGACCUGCACGAAUGGCGUAACGACUUCCCCACUGUCUCGACCAGGAGCUCGGCGAAAUUGCAGUACGAGUAAAGAUGCUCGUUAAGCGCAGAAGGACGAAAAGACCCCGGGACCUUUACUAUACCUUGGUAUUGGCGUUAGGCGCGGAUUGUGUAGCAUAGGCGGGAGGCUUCGAAGCAUGGGCGCCAGCCCGUGUGGAGCCGCAAGGUGAAAUACCGCUCUGUUCUCGUUUGACGUCUCACCUCGAACAGUCAUCCUGUUCAGGGACAGUGCCUGGCGGGUAGUUUAACUGGGGCGGUUGCCUCCCAAAGAGUAACGGAGGCGCCCAAAGGUCCGCUCAGCCCGGUUGGCAAUCGGGUGGCGAGUGCAAGUGCACAAGCGGGCUUGACUGCGAGGACGACGGUCCGAGCAGGGACGAAAGUCGGAGAUAGUGAUCCGGUGCCGGCGCACGGGCGCGGCAUCGCUCAACGGAUAAAAGGUACCCCGGGGAUAACAGGCUGAUCAUUCCCAAGAGUCCAUAUCGACGGGAUGGUUUGGCACCUCGAUGUCGGCUCGUCGCAUCCUGGGGCUGGAGCAGGUCCCAAGGGUUCGGCUGUUCGCCGAUUAAAGCGGCACGCGAGCUGGGUUCAGAACGUCGUGAGACAGUUUGGUCUCUAUCCUCUGCGCUCGUUGGAAUCCUGAGGAGGCCUGCCCAUAGUACGAGAGGACCUGGGUGGACGAACCUCUGGUAUGCCGGUCGUCACGCCAGUGGCGCGGCCGGUUGGCUACGUUCGGAAGGGAUAACCGCUGAAAGCAUCUAAGCGGGAAGCCUUCUCCAAGAUAAGGAUUCCAUGCGGCCCCGAGCCGCUGAAGACCCCAUGCAGAACACGUGGUUGAUAGGCCGGACGUGGAAGCCCCGCGAGGGGUGGAGCCGACCGGUACUAAUGGUCGAGAGGCAACCCACA
rnacentral:rRNA from 1 species